ACAAGGGGUGCUGGCGUACGCCGGCUGAGAGAGCUGCACAGCUCAACUCUUUUACCUGAUCCGGGUAAUGCCGGCGGAGGGAUGGUUUUUU
rnacentral:ncRNA from 1 species